GCUGGGCAUGGAUGGUGCAUGCCUGUAAUCCCAGCUACUUGGGAGGCUGAGACAUGAGAAUCACUUGAACCCAGGAGGCAGAGGUUACAGUGAGCCAAGAUUGUGCCACUGCACUCCAGCCUGGGUGACAGAGUGAGACUCUGUCUCAA
ensembl:misc_RNA Metazoa_SRP Metazoan signal recognition particle RNA